rnacentral:rRNA from 1 species
CCCGCUGAACUUAAGCAUAUUAUUAAGCGGAGGAAAAGAAACUAACAAGGAUGCCCUCAGUAACGGCGAGUGAAGCGGGCAAAGCUCAACCUGAAAAUCGGGUAUCCAAGCGGGUGCUCGAAUUGUGGGCUAGAGACGCGCGAUCAGUGUGUGACCCAGAUAGAAAUCUUUUGAAACAAGGUAUCAUAGAGGGUGAGAAUCCCGUCUGUGAUCUGGAGCUUCGCCGCGUACGAUCCGCGUUCGCAGAGUCGAGUUGUUUGGGAUUGCAGCUCUAAAUGGGUGGUAAAUUUCAUCUAAAGCUAAAUAUCGACGAGAGACCGAUAGCGAACAAGUACCGUGAGGGAAAGAUGAAAAGAACUUUGAAAAGAGAGUCAAACAGUACGUGAAAUUGCUGAAAGGGAAACGCUUGAAGUCAGUCGCGCCCCCUGGAAUUCAGCCCUGCUUUUGUAGGGUGUACUUUCCAGGGGGCGGGCCAACAUCAGUUUUGACCGGCAGAUAAAGGCUGGGGGAAUGUGGCUCCUUCGGGAGUGUUAUAGCCCCUGGUCACAUAUGCCGGUUGGGACUGAGGAACGCAGCGCGCCCUUGUGGCAGGCCUUCGGGCACUUUCGCGCUUAGGAUGUUGGCAUAAUGGCUUUAAGCGACCCGUCUUGAAACACGG